rnacentral:rRNA from 1 species
CCUUCCGAAAGGAGGGGCAAUACCGAAUAUUGUCCGGAGCCAUGAAGGGUUCCGGGGAAAGGGAGGCCUCUGAUACAAGCUUUCGCCUUAAGAUGAGCCCAUGGCCCAUCAGCUAGUUGGUAGGGUAAAGGCCUACCAAGGCUACGACGGGUCGCUGGUCUGAAGAGGACGACCAGCCACGACUGGCACUGAGAUACGGGCCAGACUCCUACGGGAGGCAGCAGUGAGGAAUAUUGCGCAAUGGGGGGAAA